ACGGUCGAGAGGUGGUCGCCACUUGACUCCUAGCUGAACUCUCCUCUCCCACACCGUGGCACCCUGCUCAUCCUUCCUUCCCACAACCAUUCUAUCACUCCAGCAUCCAUUACCCUCCUCUCAUCAUAAUGCUCUCCCCAUUUAACCCAUCCUCGAUGCUCCUCAUUGCCGGGUCUGGAGAUCCAACCCUCCUCCCCUGCUGCUAAACGCCUGCCUCCCACGUUUCUCAAUUCGGCAUCUGCUCCCUUCCUCUCCGCUGCUGCCUUCUUUUAUGUUCUAACACUGUACGUCUUUCAAUAGACAUAAAUAAAAAGAAUCAUGCUCUUUGUGCGGACUCUUGUUGACUUUUUUUGCUCAUGUCUGUUGAGAGCGAGAGAAGUCGAGGAGGUGGGGGCCGGGGAAUUUGGUGGCGCCAUCGGUGGCGAGGAGGGGAAAGGGAAAGGAGGGAGUUGACGGUAGGAAAAUGGGUGAAGGUUUUGCUGGACCACUCCCGCCUCCUCUUCUCCUCCUCUCUUCUCGUCUCGACCCAAUCCAAUCUCCGGCGUUCGUUCUUGGCGUCGCCCUCCAGUUUCUGCCCCACGAUCUCCUUUUCUAAUUGCUGCUCCACUUUUCCCACCACCGUCCCUUCCCAACUCCCAGACGAAGCCACCAAAGGCACGUCAAUUAUCCCUCAAACUAAAUUAAAAGAAGACUUUUCUAUCAUAAAGGAUUUUCAAAAUCAUGUUGGAGGUACUGUUAGAAAUAAUGGUCUUCACUUUUAUGAAAGAUUAAGGGUGAGCUUUGGCGCAACGGUGAGGUUGCUUCAUUGUGACCUGUGUGUCAUGCUUUGAAACACAAAAAUAGCUUCUCUGCAUGCAGAUUUAAAGCUCCAUAUAUCCAAACCUCCCCUGAUCCCACAAUGGCGAGAGCCUCGUGUAUUGGAGCGCACC